rnacentral:rRNA from 1 species
GACGAACCGUGCGAACGUUGUUCGGAAUCACUGGGCUUAAAGGGCGCGUAGGCGGGUUCGAAAGUCUGUGGUGAAAGCCUCCAGCUUAACUGGAGAAGUGCCAUGGAUACUGCGAACCUGGAGGAGGGUAGGGGCAUCUGGAACGCUGGGUGGAGCGGUGAAAUGCGUUGAUAUCCAGCGGAACUCCGGUGGCGAAGGCGAGGUGCUGGACCCUUUCUGACGCUGAGACGCGAAAGCGUGGGGAGCGAACCGG